ensembl:lincRNA Gm12295 predicted gene 12295
UCCUCUGUGAGAGCUGGACACCAGGCUGUCUGCAUUCACUAUCCUUUCCUUCUGUACAAAUGAUAUGUGACCAGGUGCUUCGAACUCCUACUGCCGUUUACUUCCCAUCAUGCUUUGCAACUCUCAAUGGAAGCUGGAAUAAACCCAUUCUCCUAAGUCACUUUGGUCUGAGAAUUUCAUCACCACAAUAGGGGAAAAAAAUGGAGUUUAGAUUCAUGCAAUAAACACUGUACUUGCCUCAGAUCUUCCCAUUUCUUCAAAAGAAGAGUGGACCAGUGUGACUGUUGGCCGGGCUUCCUCUUCCACUUGUCUUGCUGAAGCUGAAGUAUACUUCUGUGAUCAAGACUCAUCCAAGGCUCAGCAGAACCCCCUGCAGCAUGGGGGAGGUCUGAAAACCGUCCGUCCUUCCGAGAGGCCCUGCAGACAGGUUCACGGGUUGCUGAGCGUGGGCAGAACAACCUGUCCAGCCAACACACUUCCCAGUGAAUUCAUCCCCAGUCUUCCCCGGACUCAAAACUGGAGGCUGGAAGGCAAGCCACCAGUGGAUCUGGUGUCUGCUCAGGGUGACAAGACCAAGGCUGAGAGACUAGGAAAGGGCUAAGAAUCUGAGUCACUGGCUGAGCAAACUACAGGUCAAUGGUGGACCUUCUCAAAAGCAAUACAUAAAUGAUCGAGGAACAAAAGCAUCACAUCAUCAACUUUUGCCCUCCACAACUGCCUACAGAGAGAAACUCUUCUGGACAAAAAGAUGUCCUCUGCAGAUGGCACCAGUCAAAAGAACCCAGUAAACACCAAACCUUGGUCUGCAGGACAAAACACAACCCUUCCUGAGGGUCAGUUCCUUGGAUGUGACUGGAGUUGCUCCAGAUAUUACAAUUAAAAUAAGGGCAUUUCAUUACAUUAUAUUCCCUGUGAAUGUUCAUUAAAGUAAAAGAGGUAGAGGAGGUGAAGGAGGAGGAAGAAGGGGAGGAGGAGGAAGAAGAAGAAGAGGAAGAGGAGAAAGAGAAAGCUGCUGCUGCUGCUGUUGAUGACUACCUGGGCUCUGCGCAGCUUCCCUGGCCACACCCCUUCCCACACACCUGCAGGAAGACCACAGCAGCCACAGAGAAUGGGUCGGUACCAAGGUCAGUUCAUAAUAAAGAGCUUUCCAGAAGCCCCCAUCCCCACCCCAAGCCAACAGGAAUUGGCAAUGAACUUUAAGAAAAGGCUACGCGAGCCAGAAAACAACUUAGGGCUGUUUAAUUUUCCUGACAUGAACGCUGGCCACCCAAGGGGAUAAAGGAAACACCUGUCUCCCGUGGGCAGCGGUUCUGCAGGGCGUGUGGAUAUCCAGAAAGCUGCUGGGAGACUUCUUUCACCCGCCAAGUUAGAGACAAACGAACCUGUGGAAAGAGUGGUUUCGCAGAAGACCAUGGACCCCAGCCUGGGUCUCAGCUCUGCCUCUGACUAGGAAGGGGCCACUAGAAUCAGCAACCCCGCCUCUAAGAAGAACAUAAGCUUUUUGCACAGUAUUCUCUCAGGGGCUUUUAUUGAGACUCAUAAAGGAAGCAACAACACUUGAGAGUGUUGCAAAGUGGAAAAAAACAAAACAGAAACAAAAACAACAACAAAAAACACGUGAACAUGACGUUGGGGGAAAGGAUGAAACCAGCCAUUGCACGCCAGGAGAAUCCUUGGGAAGUGAGGCACAGAGGCGGAACAGCCUGAGCACAGAGGUUCAGGGUCAGGGUAGGGUGCCUAGCGAAUUCCCGUAACGCAGGACACUGCCCAAGCCAGCUUCAUAAAAAGUCACUCCGUUGAUUUCAGGCUCAAUGGGAACAUCUCUUGGCUGUUUGCUGAAUUUAGACACUUUAAAAAGUUUUCUUUGACUGAACAAGGGGUUCCUGAGACCAGCUUCCUGAGGGUAUCUUGGUAAACAAGCCUCCCACCACGAAUUUCCUUGCUGUUAUUGUAACUGGUUUUAACUGCACUUGAGUUUGUUUGGUUUGGUCUUUUGUUGUUUUUUUGUUUUUGUUUUUGUUUGUUUUUGUUUUUUUCUUUUUUCCUUUUCAGACAGUUGCACUUAAAAUGUACUAACUUUUCAAUGAGAGAUAUAGGUUUGAGAGAAAAUGUUUGAACUCCCUUGAUGGAUCCUGUUGGUCCUAAGGCAGAUCCCCUUCCCAGACAGUGUCGCUUUGGACGGAAAACACAAAUCCUUGGAGAAGUGAGGUGAUAUGAGGAAGUGGCUUGGCAAGCCAUGGCUGUGCCUUGAUCUGCUGCUAGCCUCCAACCCCAGCUGUACAGGCACUGUGUGAGGUGUUCAGCCAUGCCUUAGCCGUAGUAAGCAUCCUGGGUUAAUGAGGUAAUGUUCAUAUGAUUUGUGAGGUCACCUGAUAGAGGGAAAAGACACAUGGUCCUCCAUUUUGUAAUUUGGGGAGUAGGGAAGAUGGCAGGCUAGUGAAAUUCAGGAGUCAAGAAACAUGAUGUGACCAGUUACAUAUCACAAAAAAAGAAGGAUAAGAAGGAAGAGGAGGAAGAAGAAGAGGAAGAAGAAGAGAAAAGGAAACGAAGAAAAAGAAAAGAUGAUGGGAAUAGCAGACUCCCAGGUCUUUAGAAAUGGUUUCAUCAUCUUUGGGAAGUACAGAUUGUGGUCGCAGACCCCAGAUAUUUCACACCAACAAAAGCUAUCUGUCUGCUGCAUCUACAAACCAACCUCUACUUCCUGCCUUUGGUAUAGGCUAUCAGCUCUUUAAUAAACCAAUCAGAAUGUUAGAGAGGGAGUGUUUACAAGAUGUAGCCAUAUGAAUAAUAAUACCAAAGUCCAGUCUACACUCAACUCUGCAGGCAUAGAAACCAGCAUUUGAAUAAUACGAAGACAACAUUUACUCUGUGCUUAAUAAUAUUAUCCCAACAUGUGGGUGGGGCUUUGUGAUGAAGUAAUGACAGAAGGAGGCUCACAUGUGGGCAGUGGGCUAGUUUCUGAUAGUGAAAGGGCAGGAAACACAGGGAAGGACAGGAGGAGGUUCUCAAGGAAUGACAGACAGAGUAAGGUAAGGUUGAAUUUAAACUUGGGUUUUCAAAGAGCUUUCAGGAAAUCUAAGUAGAAAAAAACUUGAAUACAUUGGCCUAAUGCAAGAUCUUUUGACCUACCAUUUUACAUGGGAAAUCUUUAUAUGAACCCAGCUAUAUCAGUAAAUACAAUAAGCCUAUAAGUCAAACAUUUACUAAAAAUAAGUUUU